rfam:Clostridium puniceum strain DSM 2619 CLPTN_contig000032, whole genome shotgun sequence.
AUAAAGUGCUAGGGGAGCCAAUAGGCUGAGAUUUGAUAUUCAUAAACCCUUCAAACCUGAUCUAGUUAAUUCUAGCGUAGGGAAUGCAACCUUGUAAAAAU